UUCUAAUAUGUAGCCACGCUUGAGACCCACCAACUUAGAACGUCAUUUACAGUUUACACCUGAGGCUUCAUUUGCCUGGAGUCCCGAGAAAGCGUGAUGAUGAAGGGAAUGUGCAGAAUCACUGGCUGGAGGAGGGGCUUCAAACAACAGCAGAAAAGGAGAGAGGCAUUUCUUGUUGAGCUCCUCCUUCAACCAGAUAUUGUUUCAUUCUUUUAUAUAGACCUUCAAGACAACCCUGUCAGCAUCUUUUGAAGAGCAGAAGACCUUACUUUCAAAUGAAGUCCAAUUUAUCAGUUUCUCCUUUUGUGGACUGUGCUUUUGGCAAUGUAUCUAAGAACUUUUUCCUAACCCAAGGGCACAAAAAUUUUCUCCUAGAAAUUUUCUUCUGGAAUUUUUACAGUUUUAAAUUUUACAUUGAGAACUAUGAUCCUGGUGAAAGCACACAGUUGCAUAUCUUAGUUGCAGGUCCUUCUAGUUGUGGCAUAUGGGACACCACCUCAACGUGGCCUGACGAGCAGUGCCAUGUCCUCGCCCAGGAUCCGAACCAGUGAAACCCUGGGCCACCGCAGCAGAGCGCACGAACUUAACCACUCGGCCACGGGGCCAGCCCCUGUUCAGCUUUUUUCUUGUUGUCAGGCUGGGGGUGAUUCCCAGCUCUUUCCAUGUUGAACCAGAAAGUGGAAGUCCUUAGGUUUACUUUUGAUAUUUUUUCUAGCUUAAUUCUACUGUGGUCAGAGAAUAUACUCUGUAUUAUUCCAACUCUUUGAAAGUUGUGGACAGUUGCUUUGUGGCACAGCAUAUGGUCUGCUUUAGUCAGCCUUCUGAGUGUAGCUGAAGAGAACAUGUA
rnacentral:lncRNA from 1 species